UACGUAGGGUGCGAGCGUUGUCCGGAAUUAUUGGGCGUAAAGAGCUCGUAGGCGGUGUGUCACGUCGUUCGUGAAAACCUGCAGCUUAACUGUGGCGUGCGGUCGAUACGGGCAUCACUGGAGUUCGGCAGGGGAGACUGGAAUUCCUGGUGUAGCGGUGAAAUGCGCAGAUAUCAGGAGGAACACCGGUGGCGAAGGCGGGUCUCUGGCCGAUACUGACGCUGAGGAGCGAAGCGUGGUAGCAACAGG
rnacentral:rRNA from 1 species